GAGGGCUGGUCCAGCCAAGAUCCAGUUCCUUUAUUUAUUUCAAUCGCUCAGCUUGAAAGAAAAUGCCUUGAUUUAUAAAACAGGUCAUGGCAUGUGCGUAGGCUGCUUAGACCUCUACACUCUAUAAUAUUCUGUACAUUAUGCACUUGAUUGAUUCAUGUAGUCUCUCAUUAAGCUUAAGUACAGUCAAAGCCAACACUUAGUAAGAAUGUGAUGCUACUCAAAGACGUGCAAGAGAAUAGGCAGGCGUCCUGGUAGCCCAGUGGUUCCCUGGUUUCAUCCUGGUUAGGGACCUUUGUUGCAUGUUGUACCUCUUUCUUGCUCCCAAUGUUCUCUGUUUGUAUUUUUAAUCUGCUCUUCCUCUGGUAUGUAUUUAUAUUAGACAUCAUUUCAGCACCAGGAGCUUUCCACGAGAGUCACCUCUCUCUCUCCUGGACUCUGGAGUUGGACAACUGGUGGAUCAGCUCAAGGUGAGUGAGAGUCUGCUAAGUCUGUAUUUGGAUGAGUAUGGAUGGAGGAGACCAGAGGAGGAGAGUCCUUGGGAUGCACUCAUUGCUGGGGUCAACUAUGAAGGUCAUGUAACAGAUGUGUGAUGCUGCUGUAAACCAGACAUUCUCCAGUUUGUCCCUGGUGGAGCUGGAAUAGUGAUGCCAUCCAGUUUGGAGGAGACCUUUCACUUCAUCGAUGACGCCCCGUGUUUCAACACUGUGGGAGAAGUGGGCAGACACAGACUGGAAUGAAGAAGCGCUUGGAUCAAUAAUAGUGAGACAGCUGCUCUUUGGAGAAUGAGUAGUCUUGAAUAAAACAACAACAAAAAAAAGCUAAUGCUGAGUCAGGAUUAAAUGCAUAAAGAAACAAUGUUUUGAAAGUGGUAGCAAAACACGAAACAUUACAGCUUCACUUACAUCUACACUCUUUCAACACCCUAACCCACCUGAUCAUUUAUUACAAAGGUUACACCAUUUAACAUUCACUUAUACAGUAUGUUAUUCUUAAAUAUUCAAGGCUGAUCUGUGUGAUUGUGAUCUGAUCAACACUAAUCUCUACCGCUCCCUUCUCCCAAACAGCUGCAGGCCUGUCUGCCUCUGUACUGACUCACUGGUCUGUUAUUAAAGGUGUAUUUAUCCAUCUCUCUGCCUGGCUGCACAUACACACACUUAUUGUUCUCCUCCUCAUACACUACACACACACACAAGAUACACAUGUGUGUGUAUCUUGUGUGUGUGUAGUGUAUGAUUCAGUGGGAUGUGUGUGUGUUUCCACUGAGCAGGGGUCAUUCAGGACGGUUUGUGUUUAUAUUCAGGUGUCUGAUUCUGUCCUCGUUAUGGGCUGUGAAUGCAUGGAAGCAUGCAUGGAGAUGCAUGUGUAUGUUUGUGUGUUUAUCAGUUCAGUGUCAGUUCAAUGUUUAUAUACUAUAUACAUUAUAUACUGCUGGCAUUUUAAUUCCUGUUUAUGUUUUGACCAAUUUAUUGCUGCG